GAACCUCAUCCUAACAUGAGCAAAGUCGAAGGCCCAAUUUUCUAAUGACCGGAUGGGGGGAGAGGCCCUUACAACGGCCCUUAUGUACCCCCUCAGCGUUGUUAGGAACAGGAGGAGAACCUCGUCCUAACAUGAGCAAAGUCGAAGGCCUAAUUUUCUAAAGAUCGGAUGGGGGAAGAGGCCCUCACAACAGUCCUUAUGUGCCCCCACAGCCUUGUCAGGAACAGGAGGAGAACCUCGCCCUGACACGAGCUGAAACCAAC
rnacentral:lncRNA from 1 species